rnacentral:lncRNA from 1 species
UCUGGAAUAUGGAAUCAUAGAUUUUGGAGAUUGGCUGGUUGCCCAACCCAACAACAAUCUAUUUCUAAAUGGAGUCAAACUCUUAGUUGGCAAACUGUUUCAUGCUUGAAUCCUCGUAUGUAAUUCACCUUUCUUUUUUAAUUAGACUUAAAGAAUCCUCCUUGAACCUACUGAAAAAAGCGAUGGUAGUGAUUGAUCAAGAUUUUUGUUAGUUCAAAAAUUAAAUCAAUAACAUAAUAUUGAUUGCUAAUGACUAAGUUAAUGU